rnacentral:tmRNA from 1 species
ACAAUUGCAUCCACGCGACCGCUCACCUAUAUAGAAAGGGUCCUUCGGGACUAUGGACAUAAACGCGCUCGUAAUAAGCGGAUCGGACCCGGGGGCGGUACCCGGCGGCUCCACCAAAAAUCCUUCGUUUGGGGAUCAUGGGGCCGAAAUAGGAUCGACGAACGUCUAAAGGGGUUAGCUUUGUCUCGGCUGUCUGCCACCGUUAUCGGCGAAACUAGUACAAUUGCAAACGACAAUCGUGCUCCGGUUGCAGUUGCUGCGUAAGCAGUAACAAGACCGAAAUCUAAGCCCUUGCGCCUAGCCGCGUAAGGCGGGGUUCGCAGGUACCUGGCAACAGAAACCUGCACU